rnacentral:rRNA from 1 species
CGCAUAGGAAUCUGCCCUUUAGUGGGGACAACCUGGGGAAACCCAGGCUAAUACCGCAUAAUCCCUACGGGGGAAAGCGGGGGACCUUCGGGCCUCGUGCUGAAGGAUGAGCCUAUGUCGGAUUAGCUAGUUGGUGGGGUAAAAGCUCACCAAGGCGACGAUCCGUAGCUGGUCUGAGAGGAUGAUCAGCCACACUGGGACUGAGACACGGCCCAGACUCCUACGGGAGGCAGCAGUGGGGAAUAUUGCACAAUGGGCGAAAGCCUGAUGCAGCCAUGCCGCGUGUGUGAAGAAGGCUCU